AUGACCCACGAGAAAGGGAAAGGGGAAAACACCAAUCCUGCGCUGGGCUUUUUCGACUUUUCCUUUAAAAAGAAAAAAGUUUUUCAAGCUGUAGGUUCCAAGAACCGGCAGGAGGGGGGCGAGGCGGGGUGGGGGGGUGUACAGAAAAGGCGCCUGGUCGGUUAUGAGUCACAAGUGGGUUAUAAAAGGGUCGCACGUUCGCAGGCGCGGGCUUCCUGUGCGCGGCUGAGCCGGGGCGCAGCGCGACGGUCCCAUCGGGCGGCCUCCACCCUCGGGACGCGAGCGGAGCGCCGAGCCCAGCGGCGAUCACGCGACGCGGGGAAGGAAGGAAGAUCUCUCCUUUCAAAGAUAACUAGCCAAAUGAACAUAAUAAACAAGUCCAAGCAGUUGGAGGGGCGGCCGCCACCCCACCGUCUCCAAAUAACUGAUUCGCAUUUCCGAGACGGUUCACCUGAAGCCUUGCCUGCCACCUUGGUUCUCCCACCUGAAGGAGAUGGUUCUAAUGGUGGUGCAAACCAGGAAGGGGAAAUCUGUGGUUUACGUUCUCUGUGCCUCAUCCCUCUCGGAGAGCUGGAGGCUUGCUGGAGGCUAUAUGCUGUUAAUGCUAAUUGUGAUAGGGGUUUUUACCUCCGUCUGACUCCUACAUGUUAGCAUUAACAGGGUAUGAUGCCUGUUACUAGCAUUCACAUGGAACAAACUGCUGCUGUGGGAGGAUGACAAAGAAGUGUGAGUCACCCUGCUGGAUAAACUCAGACUUUAAGCUUUAUUAUUUUUUGUUAAUCAUAAUCUGGUCACUGGGAUGUUCCACCUGAUAGUAAGUCUUUAAGAAUAAGGUCUUGUAAAAGAUUUAUCAACGGUAUCCUGAAAGCAAACUUUUUUACUUUAAUCCUUAAGCCCACAUUUUUUUUAAAAAAAUCUUUAAUGGAAAAUGUAUUCCUGUCCUUUUUAAUUCACAGUUAUGGUUUGUUCAUUAUAACUGUUUAUAAACACUUUGAAUAAUUUAACUAGAAAGAAAUAUAAACACAUUCUGAGUAUCUUUGCAGUUAAAAAUUAGGACUACUAUCCACUAAUUAAUCAUGGAUUGUUGGGAAAUAUGUUCAAAAAGAUUUAGAAAUUGGUAUUUCCCCCAUGUAACAAUUCUAUUUAGACAACUUCAGUUUCAAAUGGAUACUUUUAUAUGAAUCUUAAAGUAGACUUGAAAGGCUAUGGCAAUUAGUUUUUAAAAAAUGAAAGAUUUCAUUCUUUUUUAUGGCUGAGUAGUAUUCCAUUGCAUAUAUAUACCACAUAUCCUUAAUCCACCCAUUCGUCUGUCGCUGGACAUUUAGGCUGUUUCCAUUUGCAGCAACAUGGAUGCAAAUAGAGAUUCUCAUACUAAAUGAAGUUAAGUCAGAAAGAUAAAGACAAAUUCCAUAUGAUAUCAGUUAUAUGUGGACUCAAAAAUAUGGCACAAAUGAACCUAUCUACAAAACAGAAACAGACCCACAGACAUAGAGAAUAGACUUGUGGUUGCCAAGGGGGAGGGAAGAGGGAGUGGGAUGGAUGGGCAGUUUGGGGUUAGUAGAUACAGACUAUUACAUUUAGAUUAGAUGGGCAAUGAGGUCCUACUAUUCAGCACGGGGAACUAUAUCCAGUCUCUUGGGAUAGACCAUGAUGGAAGAUAAUAUAAGACAAGGAAUGAAUAUAUACAUAUGACUGGGUCACCUUGCUGCAAUAGCAGAACUUGCCACAACGUUGUACAUCAACUAUACGUUAAUAAAAAAAUCAAAAAGAUUUUUUAAACUUAGUAC
rnacentral:lncRNA from 1 species